GGGUGACAUGAUGGUAGUGGGUUAUCAGGACUCAUUAACAUUAGUUUCACUAAAGUUGGUAUAUACCCUCCAUUGCUAAGUUUGACUGGCUUUAA
rnacentral:Y_RNA from 1 species